rnacentral:rRNA from 1 species
UACGAAGGGGGCUAGCGUUGCUCGGAAUCACUGGGCGUAAAGGGUGCGUAGGCGGGUCUUUAAGUCAGGGGUGAAAUCCUGGAGCUCAACUCCAGAACUGCCUUUGAUAUUGAGGAUCUUGAGUAUGGGAGAGGUGAGUGGAACUGCGAGUGUAGAGGUGAAAUUCGUAGAUAUUCGCAAGAACACCAGUGGCGAAGGCGGCUCACUGGCCCAUUACUGACGCUGAGGCACGAAAGCGUGGGGAGCAAACAGG